UACGUAGGGCGCAAGCGUUGUCCGGAAUUAUUGGGCGUAAAGAGCUCGUAGGUGGCUUGUUGCGUCUGCCGUGAAAGCCCGUGGCUUAACUACGGGUCUGCGGUGGAUACGGGCAGGCUAGAGGCUGGUAGGGGCAAGCGGAAUUCCUGGUGUAGCGGUGAAAUGCGCAGAUAUCAGGAGGAACACCGGUGGCGAAGGCGGGUCUCUGGGCCGUAACUGACGCUGAGGAGCGAAAGCUAGGGGAGCAAACAGG
rnacentral:rRNA from 1 species